CCUACGGGGGGCAGCAGUGGGGAAUAUUGGACAAUGGGGGCAACCCUGAUCCAGCCAUGCCGCGUGUGUGAAGAAGGCCCUCGGGUUGUAAAGCACUUUCAGUGAGGAAGAACGCCUGGUGGUUAAUACCCAUCAGGAAAGACAUCACUCACAGAAGAAGCACCGGCUAACUCCGUGCCAGCAGCCGCGGUAAUACGGAGGGUGCGAGCGUUAAUCGGAAUUACUGGGCGUAAAGCGCGCGUAGGUGGCUUGAUAAGCCGGUUGUGAAAGCCCCGGGCUCAACCUGGGAACGGCAUCCGGAACUGUCAAGCUAGAGUGCAGGAGAGGAAGGUGGAAUUGCCGGUGUAGCGGUGAAAUGCGUAGAGAUCGGGAGGAAUACCAGUGGCGAAGGCGGCCUUCUGGACUGACACUGACACUGAGGUGCGAAAGCGUGGGUAGCAAACAGGAUUAGAUACCCUUGUAGUC
rnacentral:rRNA from 1 species